rnacentral:rRNA from 1 species
CCUACGGGAGGCUGCAGUGAGGAAUAUUGGUCAAUGGACGAGAGUCUGAACCAGCCAAGUAGCGUGAAGGAUGACUGCCCUAUGGGUUGUAAACUUCUUUUAUAUGGGAAUAAAACGUUCCACGUGUGGGAUUUUGUAUGUACCAUAUGAAUAAGGAUCGGCUAACUCCGUGCCAGCAGCCGCGGUAAUACGGAGGAUCCGAGCGUUAUCCGGAUUUAUUGGGUUUAAAGGGAGCGUAGGUGGAUUGUUAAGUCAGUUGUGAAAGUUUGCGGCUCAACCGUAACAUUGCAGUUGAAACUGGCAGUCUUGAGUACAGUAGAGGUGGGCGGAAUGCGUGGUGUAGCGGUGAAAUGCUUAGAUAUCACGAAGAACUCCGAUUGCGAAGGCAGUUCACUGGACUGCAACUGACACUGAGGCUCGAAAGUGUGGGUAUCAAACAGGAUUAGAUACCCUGGUAGUC